GAUGAACGCUAGCGGCAGGCCUAAUACAUGCAAGUCGAACGGGAUCCAGAUCAAAGCUUGCUUUGGUUUGGUGAGAGUGGCGUACGGGUGCGUAACGCGUGAGCAACCUACCCUUGUCAGGGGGAUAGCCCGGCGAAAGUCGGAUUAAUACCGCAUGACAUCAUUGAGAGGCAUCUUUCGAUGAUCAAAGAUUUAUCGGACAAGGAUGGGCUCGCGUGACAUUAGCUAGUUGGUAAGGUAACGGCUUACCAAGGCUACGAUGUCUAGGGGCUCUGAGAGGAGAAUCCCCCACACUGGUACUGAGACACGGACUAGACUCCUACGGGAGGCAGCAGUAAGGAAUAUUGGUCAAUGGACGGAAGUCUGAACCAGCCAUGCCGCGUGCAGGAAGACGGCCCUAUGGGUUGUAAACUGCUUUUAUACGGGAACAAACGUCGGUACGUGUACCGGUCUGAGUGUACCGUAAGAAUAAGGAUCGGCUAACUCCGUG
rnacentral:rRNA from 1 species